rnacentral:lncRNA from 1 species
UGGAAUAAAUAACUAUACAAAGGCUAUGAUAAUUUGAUCUUCUUUAUCUAUUUGUUUUUAUUGUUACAUACUUUUUAAUCUUGUCUUCCAGUUUGUUAAAAAUAUGUUACGGCUUGGUAUUUUUCUCUGUGUAUAUAAUUAAAUAAAACAAUUUAUGAAUUAAGAAAGGUGGCAUUUGGCUUAUAUAUGACCUUUUUCCUAAAAGUUUAUAAAUCUAGUUUUCAAGGUUUAAAUAUUAUUGAAAUACGUAUUCUGAUUUUCUGUAUGUUUGCUUUCUGGGUGUGUAGUAGGAGUUAGAAUAUUUAUGAGAGCUGUUUUUCCCAUUAAAAGCAUAUUGGUUGGACUAGAUAAAUGACUAUUAUGGAUGAUCAAUAUUUGGAAUGAAAAUAUUUACAUUUUCCUUAAUGAGAGG